AAGGAAUAUUGGACAAUGGCCGCAAGGCUGAUCCAGCCAUGCCGCGUGCAGGAUGACGGUGCUCUGCAUUGUAAACUGCUUUUGUUCGGGAAUAAACCCUUUCACGUGUGAAAGGUUGAAUGUACCGAAAGAAUAAGGGACGGCUAACUUCGUGCCAGCAGCCGCGGUAAUACGAAGGUCCCAAGCGUUAUCCGGAUUUAUUGGGUUUAAAGGGUACGUAGGCGGGCUAUUAAGUCAGUGGUGAAAGCUCUCAGCUUAACUGGGAAACUGCCAUUGAUACUGAUAGUCUUGAGUAUGAUUGAAGUGGGCGGAAUGUGUCAUGUAGCGGUGAAAUGCUUAGAUAUGACACAGAACACCGAUUGCGAAGGCAGCUCACUAAGCCAUAACUGACGCUGAUGCACGAAAGCGUGGGGAGCAAAC
rnacentral:rRNA from 1 species